GAUGAACGCUGGCGGCGUGCUUAACACAUGCAAGUCGAACGGAAAGGCUCUUGCUUGCAGGGGUACUCGAGUGGCGAACGGGUGAGUAACACGUGGGCGACCUGCCCUGCACUUCGGGAUAAGCCUGGGAAACUGGGUCUAAUAUCGGAUAGGACCACAUUUUGGAUGGUGUGGUGGAAAGCUUUGCGGCAUGGGCUGGGCACGCGGCCUAUCAGCGUGUUGGUGGGGUAAGGGGCUACGACGGCGUAGACGGGUAGCCGGCCUGUGAGGGUGUACGGUCACAUUGGGACUGAGAGAGGGACCAGUGUGCAACAGGAGGCAACGGGGGGAAAUAUUACACAAUGAGCGCAAGCCUGAUGCAGCGGCGCCGCGUGGGGGAUGACGGCCUUCGGGUUAUGAACACCUUUCGCUAGAGACGAAGCGCAAGUGACGGUACCUAGAGAAGAAGCACCGGCUAACUACGUG
rnacentral:rRNA from 1 species